GUUAAACGAUACACACGCACCUGGCCACCCACCUGAUCUAAAAUAAAACAUGAUUCAUCAGACCAGUAAACAUUCUUCCAUUACUCCAUGGUCUAGUUCUGAUGCUCACGUCCACAUUGAGGUCAUCAUAGGCACUCUGACCAGUCACACGCAGCAAACUGAGAUGCGUGACACCUUUCUAUCUAUUUAAGCUCUACUGUGUGAUCAAACUAAACAGGCUAUGCUUUGUUCCCCACGUGCAUCAAUGAGCCUUGGGUGGUUGUCCUUCCUUGCACCACUUUCGAUAGGUACUGACCAUUGCAAACUUGUUAGACUUGUAUGUUGGAGAUGAUCAUCACUAUUAUGUCCUUGUUAAACUCACACAGAUCUUUUCGCUACCCUAUUUUCUUGCUUCCAACAUAUGAAAUUCAAGAACUGACUGUUUACUUGCUGCCUAAUAUAUUCCCCCCAUGACAGGUGCGAUUGUAAUUACAUAAUCAAUGUCAUUCAUUUAACCUGUUAGCGGUUUUAAUGUUGUGACUGAUUAGUGUAUAUAAUGCAUUAAAAAAAUGUGGUCCCUAAUUAAUUGCAAUAUAAGUUAAAAAAU